rnacentral:rRNA from 1 species
UGGGGAAUUUUGGACAAUGGGCGCAAGCCUGAUCCAGCAAUGCCGCGUGCAGGAUGAAGGCCUUCGGGUUGUAAACUGCUUUUGUACGGAACGAAAAGGCUCUGGUUAAUACCUGGGGCUCAUGACGGUACCGUAAGAAUAAGCACCGGCUAACUACGUGCCAGCAGCCGCGGUAAUACGUAGGGUGCGAGCGUUAAUCGGAAUUACUGGGCGUAAAGCGUGCGCAGGCGGUUAUAUAAGACAGGUGUGAAAUCCCCGGGCUUAACCUGGGGAUUGCAUUUGUGACUGUAUAGCUGGAGGACGGCAGAGGGGAGUGGAAUUCCGCGUGUAGCAGUGAAAUGCGUAGAUAUGCGGAGGAACACCGAUGGCGAAGGCAAUCCCCUGGGCCUGUACUGACGCUCAUGCACGAAAGCGUGGGGAGCAAACA